AAUCCUGCGGGAGCUUGGGUGAAGGGAGGAAAGAGCAGAGAAUCGCCAAGAAAUCAGGGUGCUCAGCCAUCUGCAGGUGUGGACCCAGGGCCCAAGCCUGUGGCUUCCAGUCAGUCCAGCCCGCACCUCUCCCAUGGGAGGGCCUGAGAGUGUGGGAACAUCCUGGGCCCCUGGGAUCUCAGAGGCUGGACCUUCCUGGAGACUCAGUGAGUAAGAUGCAGAGGACUCCUUCUUGGGUGGUGGGAGUCCCGGGUCUGCUGUGGGGCCCCUGGCUUUUCUCCAUGAGAAAAAGCAGCUGGAGCUGGGAAGUCCCACCUGGCCAUCGUGCAGAAGGUAAACAACGAGGGUGAGGGUGACCCCUUCUACGAGGUCCUGGGCCUGGUCACCCUGGAGGACGUGAUCGAGGAGAUCAUCAAGUCGGAGAUCCUGGACGAGUCCGACAUGUACACUGACAACCGAAGCCGGAAGCGGGUGUCUGAGAAGAACAAGCGUGACUUCUCUGCCUUCAAGGAUGCGGACAAUGAGCUCAAAGUGAAAAUCUCCCCG
rnacentral:sRNA from 1 species